UCUCAUCAUGGCUAACAUGUAGCCAUCGCGCGGCUGCCCCGCUUGUCUCGUCUGGGAUCUGCGCCGAAUUGGAGCGUCGUCUGUGUUCGCAUUGUUGGAUGAACAAUGCGAGUGUAUUGCACUUUCCCGUUGGUGGUAAUGUGAGGCAGCAAGUCAUCUGGCUGCGUGUAGUGGCCACCACUACAGUGUGUGCAGUGAUACCGUGGGAUGUGAGGCAGCGAAUCAUCUGCCCCAGGUUGGUUGCUGCAUAUGGUGAUGCGUGUAGUGAUGUUGUCGCCGUCUCUGAGAGUGAGCAAGCGAGCUGCACUUGCCCGUUGGUGGAUUUGUGAUGCAGCAAGUCGUCUUCCCCAGGUUGGUUGCUGCGUGAAGUGGUGCGUGCGGUGUACAUCGCCGCCAUCUAUGUGAGUGGGCUGGGCACUGCGCCACAAGUGCUUCGUGGGACAGUGUACGUGCAUCAGUUUUAUAUGUGAGUGGAUUGCGGGGUCAGUUGCCGAUGGCCUUUUGUUGCCAAGCGAGAAGUCUGUUGCUCCAUCUGUAGCCAAAAUGUAACAGGACAAUCGGUGGUGACUGGAGAAAUGCUUCCUUGAAUGGCUGGAGUGUUAGGUGCUUAACUUCCGCGCGUACGAGAGUGGCAGUGCCACAUUUUCUGUGCGAAUGUGGAUAGAUUGCAGCAUACGUUUUGGAUUCUGACUCAUUUAAGGUAUAUGGAUUGGCUGUAGUACUAGUUUCGAUUGUCAUCUUAAUAUGGUUUUCUUUUCUUUUCAUGUAUGGCUUCGUUUGUUCCAUUUGUUGCUGAGCGUCGCUGGCAUUCCAGAAUGCGAUUUUAAAAGAGUCGUCAUUCUGGUUGCCAGUACGAGAGGCAAUUGUGCGAUUGGUUGGGGCUGAAUUUGGAUAUCUUCUUUCUGGAUUGCGCCUACUCAUAUUGUGUUUUGAAAUCGUCUAGAAGAUUUUGCAGCUCCAUAGAGAUGUCUGCACUUUCAUCUGUGACCUGGUGCUGUACUGGUGUUGUUUGUAUUUGUUGAACGAUUUUAUUUCCUUUGUGCAUUGAAAUAAAAUCGGAUAUAAUAUUGAACAAAUAA